AACCUGCCCUUGGGAGGGGAACAACAGCUGGAAACGGCUGCUAAUACCCCAUAGGCUGAGGAGCAAAAGGAGGAAUCCGCCCAAGGAGGGGCUCGCGUCUGAUUAGUUAGUUGGUGAGGCAAUGGCUUACCAAGGCGACGAUCAGUAGCUGGUCCGAGAGGAUGAUCAGCCACACUGGGACUGAGACACGGCCCAGACUCCUACGGGAGGCAGCAGUGGGGAAUUUUCCGCAAUGGGCGAAAGCCUGACGGAGCAAUGCCGCGUGAAGGCAGAAGGCCCACGGGUCAUGAACUUCUUUUCUCGGAGAAGAAAAAAUGACGGUAUCUGAGGAAUAAGCAUCGGCUAACUCUGUGCCAGCAGCCGCGGUAAGACAGAGGAUGCAAGCGUUAUCCGGAAUGAUUGGGCGUAAAGCGUCUGU
rnacentral:rRNA from 1 species